rnacentral:lncRNA from 1 species
UCCCCGCUUUCCAAAAUGAUCUACUGUCUUGUAGAUUCAUUUUAGAGACAUUUACAUUUAAUAUAUAUUUUUUCAUUUCCUCUCUUAUUACUUAAAACUAGGACUCUCUUUUCAAAGAAACCCACGCGCGCGAGCGUGUAGUGGAACCGACCGACUUCAUUCGCAAAUAUGUGUUCGAGGUAAAAGAAAUAAAUGAUAAGGAGCAAAAUAAUAAAGGAGAUAAUGCGUUUAUUAAUGUUUUAAAAUAGAUAUAUAAACUUUAUACAAUAUUGAUAGAUUUCGUCGUCAUUUAAUUUCUUGUAGAUAAUAACAAAUAAUGAUGAUAAUUUUAAUAUGGAUAUAUAUAUAUGGGAUUAUGAUUAAAUAAUAGUUAAUAGAACAUAUAUAUUCGUUAAAUGAGUACAGGCGACUCUUUUAAAGCAUCAUUCGUGAUUAAAUUUUGAUUCUAUUUUAUAUCUGUCAUCGUCGACCGGAACGAUUUCUCCUAGCAGCGCGGGUGGAAGGUUGUAAUGGGCGGUCUUUCAUAGAUCUCUCACCAGAGAUAUCUCCGUUCGUGUGCGCUGGUACUACAUUUUCCUGGGAUGGUGUUUCUAACUGUCUCGAGCUUGCAAUGAGAGCUCCUUCCGUUGAAGGGACUGUUUCUAGAUUUCCUCGGUUAUUGCCCGACAAAACGAUCGAGCUAGGAUGGAAGCGACGGUGGUAAUGUCUUUGUUACUAUGGAAGUAGGCCAUUUGCACCAUCAUGCAUCCAGGUAUUUCCAUGUUUUGUAAUGAGCCAAGUGGAGUGCUAAGGAGACAGUAACGGUGGGAAAUGCCGCAAUAGGUUGUCCGUAAAGACUGUUGAUCCAUAAUUUGCAUAAUUGCGUUAAACGAGGGCUUGGAAUGUGUUCCCAUCGGUUCGUGUAUAUUUUUUCUAGUUCAUCAUCUUUCCAUUCAAGAUCUGCCAAUCCGGUCGAGACUCCAGAAAAACCUAAUUGCAAACAUCUUUUAAGGCCUUCUUCAAUACUUAUAUCAACAACUUGAGCCAUGAUCUUUCUUGAAACAACCUGCUCACUUGGUAUUUCCAUGUCAGUAGGCAAUAAAAUUGCGAUCUUUAGGUCUUCUGUGCUUUCUUGUAUAUUAUUUUGCCCUACGGUUAAUGCUUGGGCGAUAACAUUGGGUUUAGCUCGGGAUAUAACAUUGAUGGUGGCUAGGUUUUGUUGUAGCGGUUGUUGUCGUGACGUUGUACAGUGGGUUGACAAAUUAAUGUGGACACUCAUAAAAAUCAAGUUAUCGUGAUUUUUUUCCUAAAUAAAAAUACAUUAUAUGCUACACUUGGUAUCUAUUAUUUUAUUUAAUGUUAAUAUACAUAUUUAAUAGCUAUAUAUAAUAAAAUAUAAUGGAAACAAAAAAAGUAACAUUUCAUAAGUCAUUAGUAUUUGGUGACAUUUCCUUUGG